rnacentral:tRNA from 1 species
GGGAAGAUGGCUUAGUGGUAGAGUGCUUGCCUAGCAUGCAUGAAGCCUGGGGUUCAAUUCCUCAGUACCA